CCUACGGGAGGCAGCAGUGAGGAAUAUUGGUCAAUGGCCGAGAGUCUGAACCAGCCAAGUAGCGUGAAGGAUGACUGCCCUAUGGGUUGUAAACUUCUUUUAUAAGGGAAUAAAACGAGGCACGUGUGCCUUUUUGCGUGUACUUUAUGAAUAAGGAUCGGCUAACUCCGUGCCAGCAGCCGCGGUAAUACGGAGGAUCCGAGCGUUAUCCGGAUUUAUUGGGUUUAAAGGGAGCGUAGGUGGGUUGUUAAGUCAGGUGUUAAAGUUUGCGGCUCAACCGUAAAAUUGCAAUUGAUACUGGCAUUCUUGAGUACAGUUGAGGUAAGCGGAAUGCGUGGUGUAGCGGUGAAAUGCUUAGAUAUCACGAAGAACCCCGAUUGCGAAGGCAGCUUACUAAACUGUGACUGACAUUGAUGCUCGAAAGUGUGGGUAUCAAACAGGAUUAGAUACCCUGGUAGUC
rnacentral:rRNA from 1 species